rnacentral:rRNA from 1 species
UACGUAGGGUGCAAGCGUUGUCCGGAAUUAUUGGGCGUAAAGAGCUCGUAGGCGGUCUGUUGCGUCGGCUGUGAAAACCCGGGGCUCAACUCCGGGCCUGCAGCCGAUACGGGCAGACUAGAGUUCGGCAGGGGAGACUGGAAUUCCUGGUGUAGCGGUGAAAUGCGCAGAUAUCAGGAGGAACACCGGUGGCGAAGGCGGUGAUCUGGGCCGGCACUGACGCUGAGGAGCGAAAGCGUGGGGAGCAAACAGG